AAAAUGACUUGAUUCUUUACAAGUAGUGGAGACUAUUAUUAGUAUUCCAGAUAGAGUGUGUUCUUAGGAGUCCAUCAUGUGCUUUGAUCUGUCUGCAUCCACAGCUGGAAACUUUGCGCCAGUCUCUGGAAGCAGCACGAACUGACAACAGUCGCCUCCAUCAGGAAAGUGAGUUAGUGGUUGAAAAUGUUAAUCAGUGGAUCAAAGAACAAAAAAUUACAGGCUGUUAAUUCCUCUGGGAUCAUUGCUUCCUAUCAGAUUAAUUUGAAUUGACCAGCAUUUUCAGAAGUUACUGUGUAUGUGUGGACAGAAAGAGACAUACCACUGAAUGUGAGGAAGAGGAGGUUCUUUGAAAUAUGUAUGACCGGCGUGAGAUUAAGAAACAACAGUUCAAAUGUUGGUCCGACCCGUUUAUUACAAACGUUAAUAAGGGAGAUGAAGAAAGGGGAGGACGGACACUAUUACGGAUUGGGGUGAUGGGAAAGGGAAGGCAAGCGAUAGAAAAGAUAGAAAGAAGCAAGAAUUGCGUAAAGCGGGGAUAGUCACCACCAGGAUCCGGCAGCAGUCCCGUUGCACGACAUUCCUAUGGUCCGAGGCCGAAGGGCAGGAGCAGCGAGGCCAGUCUUGGACAACGAGAGGGUGCAGGUACUGGGAGGGUCCAGGAAGAAGCCGCAGAGUAAGUCUGGGAGGAAGCAGCAGGUCUCAGGUAGCAGGCCCAGGGAAGUCCAUCAGCAUACGGUCCGUAGUGAAGGAUCUGAUGGCAGAAACCUCGAGUCCGUCAUGCUGAGGGAUAUGAUGGCAGAAAACCCCCUCCUCAUGGUAAUUGGACCCUCUUUUAUCCUCCUCUUUUUCCUGCCUACGUGACAUCCCUGGGUGUUUGAGCAAGAGUCAUGUGUGUAGCUCCUGAGAUGGCCAUCUUCCUCGAGAUAAGUCCACACAAAAGACCAUUUCCCGGCCAUUAUCAGCAGCUUAUCCCUCUCUUGUUGCCCCUGGAUUUGUCCAUCUGUGCUCCUUAAAGGAUUUCAAAACCCUUAGCCAGGACCUGUCCAUCAGUGUCCUCUAGACAGAAGAUUUCUGUACCUUUGCCCAGGACUUGCCUGGACUUGUUCCUCAGCAAACUUUGAGUCAAUCAUAUAAAAGAAUAAUCUCUUACAACCGUGUAAAAAGUCAUUCCCCUACUGCAAUUUAAUGUAGUGUGUAUUUUAAUGUACUGUGAUUAGCAAUCCCUCAGAGUUUUAAAAUAUCCCAACAAUAAGAGUUUUGAAGGUUUGAAUUUACUUAUCCCAUAAGAUUACAAACUCUGAAAAUAUAUCUCAAGUAUCUGCUGCUUUAGCUUGUGUAUGCUCUUU
rnacentral:lncRNA from 1 species